UAAUACGGAGGGUGCGAGCGUUGUCCGGAUUUAUUGGGUUUAAAGGGUGCGUAGGUGGCUGUUUAAGUCAGUGGUGAAAUACGGUUGCUCAACAAUCGAGGUGCCAUUGAUACUGAAUAGCUUGAAAUAAUUGGAGGCUGCCGGAAUGGAUGGUGUAGCGGUGAAAUGCAUAGAUAUCAUCCAGAACACCGAUUGCGAAGGCAGGUGGCUACGAUUUGUUUGACACUGAGGCACGAAAGCAUGGGGAGCAAACAGGAUUAGAUACCCUGGUAGUCCAUGCUGUAAACGAUGAGGACUCGCUGUUUGAUGGCAACAUUGAGCGGCUUAGGGAAACCGUUAAGUCCUCCACCUGGGGAGUACGCCGGCAACGGUG
rnacentral:rRNA from 1 species